AUACGGAUGGUGCAAGCGUUACUCGGAAUUACUGGGCGUAAAGCGUCCGCAGGCUUCUUGAUUAGUCUGAUGUAAAAGCACGGAGCUCAACUCCGUGUACGUAUCGGAAACUGUCAAGAUAGAGUCAUAGAGAGGUAUCUGGAAUGCCGUAUGUAGGGGUAAAAUCCGUUGAUCUACGGUAGAACGCCAAAAGCGAAGGCAGGAUACUGGCUAUGUACUGACGCUCAGGGACGAAAGCGUGGGGAGCGAACGGGAUUAGAUACCCCGGUAGUCCACGCCCUAAACGAUGUGUGCUCGGUGUGAGGAUUUUCAAUUGAUCUUCGUGCCUUAAGCUAACGCGGUAAGCACACCGCCUGGGGAAGUACGGUCGCAAGACUAAAACUCAAAGGAAUAGACGGGGACCCACACAAGCGGUGGAGCGUGGGGUUUAAUUCGAUGAUAAGCGGAGCACCUCACCCAGGUUUGACAUCCCGAGAACGUUCUAGAAAUAGAUCAGUGCCGUAAGGAACUCGGUGAC
rnacentral:rRNA from 1 species